CAACUCAAACAUUGGACACGAACAUUUCGAGCGAACAUUGCAACCGAACAUCUUAAAUCAAACUUGUGCUAAGCGAACAUCGAACUAUAUGUUCGAAGCCAACUGCAACGAAAAUUCCUCAAAAUUCUCGCCAUUCAAACGCUAUACGUACCCGGGUGGUUGGCCUGUUCGGACGUGCAUAGUAUAGAAGGGGUUGUUUAACGCGAGUUAACCGAAUAAAUACAGUGGAGAAAAAAGAAAUAGAGCUAAUAAAAUAAAAAAAGAAAUACCGUGCAAUAGUCAUAGCCAGCAAAUGAAGAGCCGAAAGCGCUGUGAGACGCGCAAAGUUUAUAAUUAAACGCAAGUGGAAGCAAAGAAAAAUAUUAGUGUUAAGAAAAGAAAAAUAAAUGAAUUAAGCAACAACAGAAUCAAUGCAUGGAAUAUAAGCGAGGAAACACGAAUUUUGUAUUAGGUGUUUUCGAUUAGCGGCCUAACAUAAAGGCGACGUGUUGUGUUAAUUAUUUGCAUAGUGUUACAUCAAAAAGAAGUUGCCGACGACGUUAUAACAACAAUAUAUACAAUAAAUUACAAAAACAAAAAUAAUAAUAAAUUACAACAACAAUCAGCAUAAUUAAAGCGCAUUAAAAGCAGUUAAAUAUCGCCUGUCAGGCGUUUAUAACACGCAUUAAGCCAUAUUAAGCGCUCCAAAGCCAAACAACGACAGCAGCAGCAAACAAGCAAAAAGAGUGCGUACAAAAUUUGUUUUUAUUACUACACAUACGCACACCUACACACUCCCAGGCGCAAGUAUGGCCCACGCCGUCGAAAGUGCCGGCAAACGGAAUGCCACAAAGCCAAUAACAGCAGCAGCGCACAAAAAACCUCAACUACGUCGACUAUUUCUGCUGUUGCAAGUUUGCAUUGCCGUUUUAGUGGCCAGAAGUUGUUUGGCAUUGCCAUCGGCGGCCAACGCAAAACAUCUCGAUGGUCAUCACUUUCAUGCUCACCAUGAGCAACAACAACAGCAGCAUGCACAUCACAGGCGCCGCUUGCAACGCGAUUCAACCAGCAAAAUUUUAAACACAUGCGAACAGUGCAACAGCGUGCGGGAUUACUUCGAGACGAUCGACAUUAAGCUGAGUGGCAACUUUGAGGAAAAAGAGCAUUUCCUAGUCCUAAAGGAAUAAUCAGAGAAUAAUACCCUGGCUAUCUAAAAUCACAAGUUUACGAAGGCGUGGUAUCACAAUCGUGCGAAUUGAUCCACCAAUUCAGAAAACAUGAUGCAUUUUAAAAAUGGACACGGCAACAGCAUCAACUGUGGCCAUUCCGGAAGAUGCCAUUCAAAAAUUUCUUGUGAAUCUCUGCACAUUAGCAAGGAAGAUUACGGAUUACAUGAAUUGCUUGAAGGAUACAUUCAACGAUAUACAGUCGUUGGACAGAGGAUCAAAGGAGAUAAAUUCUUCAUAAAUUAAUUGCAAAGAGCAGUGAGGUUCUCAGCUAAACUGGUCAGUUGUAGAUGUAAAAGAGAACGUAUAAAUUAGAGAAGAUGUAACAGUAGUAAAUUUCAUGUAACAGAGAACAUUUAAUUUAGAGAAGGUUCUAUUGCGGACCAGCAUAUACACAUUUUGAGCAUAUUUCACCAUAGCCAGCUAUGAAGGAAAAAAAUUUAACAUAGCGGCGUGAACAGAAAUGAGCAUUGAUGAAUGAGCAUGAUGCACAGAAACUUACUUUGAUAUUACAACCGUGCCUUAGUCCUUUGGCUUAUAUUUUUGUACGUUUAUAUUCAAUCAUACAAAUUGGUAAGAAUAUCAUUGGAAGAAUUUUUGUGAAUGCGAGUAUACUUUCCGUGGUUUGCAGAAGGUUAUUUUUUAAGAACUUAAGGAUGAUGCUCAAUUCUAGUGAGUUACUAAACAGAGUUUUUUUUUAUUUCUUAUUCCUUUAUA